UCCUCUCUACCAGCGGUACCUGCAGGCAGUGAAUCACAUCAGCAGCAGAGGGAGGAGGACAGAGGACGGGAGGAAAGACUGCCUGCGUAGAGAGCAGCUGUGCACAUGCCCUUUUGAAUCGGGUCGUGGUGACAGAUCGGUUGAAACUGUGCGUUGCGUUUGGAUCGUGUGUGUAGAUCGUGUUUCAUAGAUGAUCUGGGGGCUUGAGUAACAUCAGACAAACAUACAAAACUUAUGGAUCCAUGUUCAUGAUGAUUAUUCACGACAGAGAAGGUUGAGGUCCAUGCAAAAUUACAGGAGUUUCGCGGGAGAAACAACAAAACGGGAGAACGGCAGGAGACGUGUUGGCAGAAUUUCAGUGAUGGAUCCUGGGGGCUGUUGCAUCAUCUGUGGCAGCGACUGUCUGCAGAAAAGUUGGAUCUUUUGCACACUUGGAGGAAGCUCAUACAGUAUGUCUCUACUGUGUUGCAGAAUUUGGAAAGAGAUUGACAGAAGAAGGGAUGGAGGGAAGAGUAUGCAGGUUAAAGCACUGAGAAAGACCAACAGCUGCUCUGCGUCUGGAGGAAGAUGUGAUGAGUGAGGGGGAGGAUUUCACAUUUCAACUCCUACCUCAAAGAGAAAGAAAAGGAUGCCGAGAAUCACCUUGAAGAAAAAAAAACUAUACAGGAGCUUCAGAAGACGUUCCAGUUGUCACAGUGCAAUACUCGGCAGAAAUGAUGCAGUUUGUCAUGUUAUGUUAUUUGUUGUGUAAUGAAUUAGUGGCCGUAUGAAAGCUCUUACACUGAAUUGAUUCUAAAAGCACAACACUAAAACCCUGCUGAAAGUGUGACUUUGACUGUGAUUAAUCCACAAACAAAACAGAAUGAAAGGCAGACAGACAGAAGAAGAAGAAGACAAAGAGCAGGACAAGACAGCGCAUAAAAGUACAGAGGAAGAAGAAAAGAAGAGGUGAAUGUAAAUUAAAUAUUACAAUUCUGUCUAGUUUUUCUUUUGCUGCUGACAUUUAUGCUCGCAGCUGUCCCUUCUUUUGUGUCAUCAGACUGUAGUCGAUGUGAUAUAUUUUAAAGGUCUCUGGUCAGCUCACUCCACUUACUCUCUGUCUCAGUGACAAAAUUAGUGAGACAGCGAGGGUUUCAGCAUGAUUUAGCUUGAGGCCAGUGAGGGCUCAUGUCGGUCCGACACCCUCGUAACUUAACGAUCUAUAAAACCAAUUGAUGAACUUUUGAAGCGGCGAACAGAGAAUUCACGGCUGGAUUGGCCAGAAGCAUUAAGUAACUACAAUGACAUUUUAUAAUGUAUUCAAGUGUAUAAAUCUGAGGAAAGUAUGUCAAAUUCACUUACACUGUCAGUACUUGAAGUAAUAAUCCAUGAUAGCUUCAUAUAAAUCAAAUCAUGUUUGUAAAACCUCUUUAAAUGAUUGAUACGGCACGAUUUUGACUCUGCAUUA